UCACAAUGCCAUAAGUGAUGGUGCUUCGUGUGCAGGUGUGUAUUACGUGUAUAAGGUGUGUGAGUGCGUACAGUGCCACAUAGAGCCCUACAGUGCCAGACCAGGGGAGUGAAACAAAUCUGGCAUCUUCGUAGUGACGUCAUGGCGCGCGCGCGCGCAGCUACUCGGUUCAUUCCAGUGAUCGAAAAGUAUAAUAGCGAAUCUUGUCUCCCAGCCUGCAGCCAGCCCUAGCCUGACCCGCCAGACAUGUGUCCCAGGCCUUCCCCUAGCCUGUAGAGCCAUGUAAGCCUGCAGGUCAAGGUCAGGUAAAAAAAAAAACAGGCCGUAACGUAAAAGAUCAAGACAUUUACGAAGACUGUCUUUGAUGGGCUCAGGUCCUCCGUGCAGACCACCAACAAGCAAGAGAUUGACGAAAUACAGGUUGUGAAGACGCUGCAAGCUGAUGCCUUCAGAGAUCGCGAAGGUCCUCACCUUGUUGUAGGAGAGCUGACAACAUGUACCAGCCAGCAGCAACUCCCAUGCUAACAGGCUUCUCCCCCGCGGGUAUGUAGCACCUCUGGAGUCGCUCGAUGAAGAAGAGGAUGCUGGCGAGGCCUGUCGUGUUAGCCGGGAUGCGCCGGUACAGAGCUGUGUCCGUUGGGGUUGUGUAGGCAAGCAUCUUCUUGGCAAGGUCCUCGUAGGUGGCCGCAAACAGUUUACGGCUGUGGGAUGAGAACUUGUCUUGUGAAUGUGACGUUGGGAGGAGGGAAGCACAGGGGAAGAGGAGGACGAGGAGGAAGAGAGUUAAGAGUCACAAGAGGAGGAGGAAGGUGGAAAGAAAGAGGAAGGAGAGGAGGAGGAGGAGGAGGAGGAAGAUGGAGAAGGAAAGGAGAAAGAUAAGAAGGAAGGAAAUGCCGCAGAAGGAGAAGAGCAAUAAGAAAUUAGAAUUGACAGAGAAACCAGACAAGGGACUGCAUUUGAAGAAGCACAAGAACCAAGAAAUUACAUCAUUCAAUGAAAUGACAACAUAAUCUAAAGUACAGAUACCAAGGGGAAAUUGCUGGGUCAAGUGGCUACACUGACAUCUGAGGUUAGCAGGUUGGAGAGUGAGUGCAGCAGUCUUCAGGUUCAGCUAGACUGUGAGAGGGAUAAGUAUAACAAACUGCUGGGAGAAUCUCUUGCUCAUGAAAAGUUGUCUGAAGAUGUCAUAACUGAACCAAAAGGAGAAACAACAGGAUUGGGAGGAACUGAGCUUUAACAGAAGCUGCAACAACUGCAGGAGGCUCACAGGGUCCUGGAGAGCAGGUUAACUUGCAGCAUGAAGGAGGUGGCUGAGCUGAGUGACAGGAAGUAGCAGCUUGAGCAUGCUGUAGUGCAUGAGGAGACAGAGUCCAUCGGUGACUACAUCACCAUCUACCAGUUGCAGCGAGGAGUGAUGAAGCAACAAGCUCGAGAACGCGAGUUAGACCUUGCCAGCCUCCAUCAUGAAUGAGAGGAAAUGAAGCAAAACCACUCUGCAGGAUUUGAUAUCAAAGCUGGUGCAGGAAAAGGAAGCAGAUCAUGACCUUCAGCAGCUCGAGAAGAUAAGCAGCGUCCUUAUAUAUAUGUUAUAUAAAUAUGUUCCUUUCACUAUAAUAUAUUAUAUGUAUUAAAAACUGCAUGGAAUACUACUGUAUUCCAUGCACUUUGUAUUCCAUGUAUUCCAGCCACUCAGUCUCCUACUGAGUGGCUGGGGUUUUCCAAAAGUGAGGGUUGGUGUUCUAUACCAUACCAUGUGCCCUGUUUGUAUUCCUUCUCUAUCCUCUGUAUUAUAUUCUAUGUAAAGAUGGUGCUGGGGGUGGGAUCUACUUCUUAUUCCUAAAAGUGAUGAGGAGUGACACUGGGCAGCAUUAAUUUGCUCCUUAGAGAUGGCUGGGUUCCUGUGGAUGAGUGGGCCAUGCUGUGCUUUGUCAAGGAUGGUGUUUGGUAUUGUGAUGACUCUUGCCACAAUCAAGUGUCUCCCACAGAGUAGUGGAGUACCUAUGUAUGGUGUUGGACCCAAAGCUGUCCAGGUCUCAUCCAAUGCCUUAAUAUGAUUUAGAUGAUCAAAAUGGUUUAACUCACCAUUUAAUCAGCUGACUGAUUUGAAUGGAGAAGUAUGUAAUGUGUUGUAGCCUAACCAUCCCUGCCAGCAUGGUCAGACUCUUGGUAGUAACCUGAAAUGCUCCUAGGUAGUGAGUAUCAUUGCACAUAAUGAUCUUUACUUUGUCAGUAAUUCAAUGAUACUGAAUAUUACUCUACUGGAUUUUGCUCAGCACUGCUUGGUAACUUUUGGCCAUAAUCCCAGGUCUGGAAUGAUAUGAAGCCAUGUUUUUACAUUCCAUAUGAGACAGGCAAGCACUAUGCUUUGCCUGACUGAUACCUGUACUUUGCAUUUAUGACCCCAGGUAGUUCAUCACUCUCUCUCUCUCUCUCUCUCUCUCUCUCUCUCUCUCUCUCUCUCUCUCUCUCUCUCUCUCUCUCUCUCUCUCUCUCUCUCUCUCUCUCUCUCUCUCUCUCUCUCUCUCUCUCUCUCUCUGUUUGGAAUUAUACUGUAUAUUAGGAAAUAUCAUUAAAGAGUGUGUGUGUAAAAAGUGUUUGCAUUAUUGUGCAUUUGAUGUUGGUUUCAUGAUUUAUAAAGAUUGCUAUUUUUAAUAAAGUUAUUGAAAUUGUUA